UCCAUUGUAGUCUAGAUGGUUAGGAUAUUGGGCUCUCACCCGAAAGACCCGGUUCGAGUCCCGGCAACGGAA
rnacentral:tRNA from 1 species